UCUCCUCCUGGACUGCUAUAUACUCUCAGACACGGACUCUCCCUUGCAAUCUGGGAAACAGAAUGACUGACCUCACAUUUUUUUAAUAGCCCUUCAAAAUUUGAUAAGUACACUCUGUGUAAAACUGCGAGUACAAAAAAAAGAAAUCUUAGACUGAAAGGUAUUUUGGUGACCAUGGCAAAACAAACAUGUCAUUUCAACCUGGCUCUGCUUCUGCUGCCUCUGUUUGCAUUCAGCACAGAUGCCAAGAUGGACAUCAUCACCAGUAAGCAAGAUGUUCAAGUGGGAAAGGAGAUUUUACUACUGUGUAAAGCUGGGGGCGAGGGAGAUAUAACCUGGCAAAAGAACGGUGUGGAGAUUGAUGAAGAGAUGGUAUCAAAGGUGGACGAGACCUCUUCUAAACUGCUCAUCAGGAGGGCCACAGUGGAGGAUGCUGGCAAAUACACCUGUUUGUGUGAAUUUGACAGCGGGCACACGGAUGACGUUCAGACGCAGCUUUAUGUUUAUGACGGGCCUUCAUUUGGAAGCACCCCCACCUACCAUGAGUUUUUGGAGGGUACAGAUGGGAUAUUGCCGUGUCUGGUGUCUGGCCAGCCGGCAGUGGAUGUCCGCUGGAUAUACAACAAGGAACAGAACUCUUUUUAUGGAAAUAAUGUUCACCAGCAGCCUGAUAACACACUCUUGAUUGAGAAAGUGAGGAGACAGGAUGCUGGGACAUACAUGUGCCAUGCCCAGAUAAGAGGAAGGCCCAUCUACAAGCAGCUUUCCAUAUCUGUUGUUGUCAAUGCUCAUCCCACUGUGCAUCUGAGAGAAGAGGUGAAGAAAGUGAUAGCUGGACCAGAAACCAACGUUUCUUUGCUUUGUUUGGUCGACGGCCAUCCGAAACCUAAUAUUACCUGGAACAUGCCAGUAUUUUAUGACCCCUCACAUCACAAGUACAACUCUGACCGCAGCCAGUUGACCAUAAGAUCAGUCGUCAGGGAUGACUAUGGGGAGUACGUCUGCACCGCCACCAACAAGAUCGCUGAAAGCAGUGCUACCAUCAUGCUUCACGUCUUUGAAUCCCCAGAGGUGUCUUUGUCUGUCGAACAGCAGAACGUCAAGAUGGGCGAGCGUGUGUCUGUGGCCUGUAACGUCUCCGGCCAUCCUCAGCCUGAACUACACUGGAUCAACAAGCACGGUGGACAAACACUGGACUCUUCUUCUGGUCGUAUCCGUGUUGAGGAAGGUGUGUUGGUGAUUGAUGAAAUAGUGCCCUCUGAUGGUGGUCUGUAUUCCUGCAUGGCUGUCAGCAUCGCUGGCAAUGCUUCAAGGGAUGUUGCAAUUCACACGCAGCCUGGACCACCUCUUUACCUAUCAGUGUCACCUGGACCUGCAUCAGUAUUCUUGUCCCUUACAACUCUGCCUGUCAGUGGGGGGACACCAAUCACAAACUUCGUUCUGCAGUGGAGGAAAAAUGCAGCCGAGCAAUGGAAGGAGAUCACAGUCCCAAAUGCUGACACUAUGGCUGUGACUUCCCUCGAGCCUUACACGUUAUAUACUGUGCGUUUGGCGGCUUUGAAUGCAGCAGGACUGGGACAAUUCUCAGAAGCGCACACUGCUCACACCCAAGGAAUACGUGAACCAGACAGCCCAGUAAUAUUGUCCGAUAAGAUGAAUGUAGGGGACAACUCAUUCUCUGUCCCCCUUAAAACUUCAAAUGAUGGCGCGACUCCUCUCCUGCACUACAUUCUGCGAUAUCGACAGGGUAAAGAUGGGGCUGAGUGGACUGAGAAGCAACUGUCAUCCAACACUGAUUCUGUCACUCUCAAAGACCUGACUUCCGGCUCUGACUAUCAACUAGAAGUCAUAGCAGUAAAUACUAAUGGUUCUUCUCUCCCUGCAACAUUUAACUUCACCAUUGCAGAACAAGCUGUGCACAACCGCAUGACCAAAGGCAGCGUGGUUGGCAUUGUCAUGGUGAUCUUCCUGGUGGUUUUCUUGGUGGUGGAUGCCACCUGCUGCUACAGAAACCGUUGCGGUCUGCUAAUGUACAUUGCUGUAAAACUUUUUGGACAGAAAGUUCCAGGCCUCAAAGUGCUUGAAGAAGGGGAGGGUACCACAAAUGGGGAUAUGAAGUUGAAUGGGAUGUCUACCCCCAGAAGCGGCAGACACUAUUCAGGAGUUGGAAUAAACUCUUCUAAGGAAGGCGGACCACUUACAGAGGUCACCUGUGACAAAGCGUCCCUCACUAAACAUGAUGCACAGACACCCGCAUUGUUAAUUCUGAAAGCCCCGGGCAGAUUUGGUACAGCAUGGCAACAUAAGCUGGCUGAAUUCUGAUUGGAUACAAACUGUAACCUAAAACCAACAACACUGGAAAGAGCAUAUAACAUGAAAACACAACCAGACAGAAACCUGCCCAAGACAGUCGCAUCAGGUUAACAACUUGAAGAAAAAUACAUACAAAUUAUUUUCAAAGAGACAACAACUUCAAUCCAAACAGUCAACAGUGUUACGAACAGUCAACAGUGGCUCUUUCGUACUUGGAUGGACAGCGAAGCACCUGCAUCUCCUCAUAAUGAAAAUGUUGUAUUUUGUACUAAGGCUGUCUCAGAUGACAAAUUAUAUAAUAACAGUAUCAUAUGUAAUAUGUAUUAAUGUUCAUUGAAUUUGUCCAUUCACUGGGUGAUGGUGAGAUCGGUCAUUCACAGGGUAUUGAUGUAAUUUAUUUUUUAAAUUAUAGUGUUCUGAAACCGGCACAAAAGUGCUUUGUAAUGUUAUAAACAGGCGAAAAAAGUUUGUUUAUUUCUAACAAUAUGCAUAGCAGCUAUUUUUACCAUAACUGCAUGACUGUGUUCCUUUGAUGUUUUCAAUCUUAUUAAUUUGAGAGUUUAUAUGAGCUGCUAUUUGCUGAUUUUCUUGUUGUGACGAACACAAGCAAACACCCAAAAUCAAACUAUUCAUUGCAAGUUCUUGUAACAUACUGAGCACGCAAUAACAACACAUUCGAACUCAGAUGAAGCAUUUUACAUAGUUAUUCAUGUUUGUAAGGCACAUGAGUUAAUGAAGUACUGUACAUAUUUCUACACACGUAUGUUUGUUUGAAUAAUAAAAUAACACAAAAAUA